CUGAACCUACUGUGUUGUAGGGAAGGGCGGUGGAAAGCCCUCAGGUGCCGUCCCUGUCGCUGCCUCACUACGUUGAUCCUGGAUCAGUUAUUUCGUGCAGCUAUCACAGUUUGAGCCACUGUCUUCGUGCAAACAUAUUUCCAGGUGCUUCUUUCAGAUGGAAAUCCCUCUCCAAGGACUCUUACAUUAGCCACCCUCCAACAGCUUGGCCCACGGACCCUCAUCUCUGGUACGGCCACAAAACAGACGACCUGGUCCAGUGGACAGAGAGAAACAUCAUCAACCAGAAACUCGACAAGAUGCUGACUGAAAAGAGAAAGAAGACCCACGCAAAAUGAGGUCCUGUUUCCUUCCCUGUGACCACAACACACUCGCCGCCCUUUGGAUUCACACUUCGGCCUUUUUUUUCGAAAUGCUCAUAUAAAGUGUGAAUUGAAACUAUGCAUGUUGUUAGCUAGUUGCUUAACAAUAAACAAAUAACAGGGUUGUAUCAGAGUUAAAACACCAUACAUACAAACGAUAAUUAGUUCGACAAAAGUGAUAGCAGCAGUCCUUUUGGUCAUGGCGAACCAAACUGUAAUUAUUUGGGUGCUAAUGCGAUAGCAACAAUAUUGUUUGUGCUUUUAUUUAAAGCGUUGUCUUCUCUUUCUACUUCAAAAUAUGAUAUUGCUGAGUGUCUUAAAUAUACGGCGCAUAAAAGGCACAAAAGCUCUUACUCAAACCUAUACAAAACAACCUAAACCGCUAAAUGGUAGCAGCAGUUGAAUGGGUUUCUUGUUUCUCCAUGU